AAUAUUGGUCAAUGGAGGCAACUCUGAACCAGCCAAGUCGCGUGAAGGAUGACGGCCCUACGGGUUGUAAACUUCUUUUUUAAGGGAGUAAAGUUAGCCACGUGUGGCCGUUUGCAUGUACCUUACCAAUAUGGAUCGGCUAACGCCACUCCAGCAGCCGCGGUAAUACGGAGGAUCCGAUCGUUAUCCGGAUUUAUUGGGCUUAAAGGGUGCGCAGGCGGAAUAUUAAGGAGGCGGUGAAAGUUUGCAGCUUAACUGUAAAAUUGCCGUUGAUACUGGUAUUCUUGAGUGUAUAUGAAGUAGGCGGAAUUUGUAGUGUAGCGGUGAAAUGCAUAGAUAUUACGAGGAACUCCGAUUGCGAAGGCAGCUUACUAAAUUACAACUGACGCUUAGGCACGAAGGCGUGGGUAUCAAACA
rnacentral:rRNA from 1 species